GACUCGGUGGCGGACGGUCCGCAUCUGUCUCAUUUGAGUGGUGUCUUAGUUUCCAGUGCGGAAGACCCCCGUUCGAUUCGGGGCCGAGUUA